GCAAUUCAUGCUGACGAGAGGCGGACGGGUGAGGAACGCUUUGGGAAUCUGCCCAUCAGCGGGGGACAACCCGGGGAAACCCGGGCUAAUACCGCAUACGCUCUAUGGAGGAAAGCCGGGGACCGCAAGGCCUGGCACUUGAUGGAUGAGCCCAAGUCGGAUUAGCUUAGUUGGCGGGGUAACGGCCCACCAAGGCGACGAUCCGUAGCUGGUCUUGAGAGGACGAUCAGCCACACUUGGAACUGAGACACGGUCCAGACUCCUACGGGAGGCAGCAGUGGGGAAUAUUGGACAAUGGGGGAAACCCUGAUCCAGCGACGCCGCGUGGGUGAAGAAGGCCUGCGGGUUGUAAAGCCCUUUCGGUAGGGACGAAAGCUCUCGACCUAACACGUCGGGAGGUUGACUUAACCUACAAAAGAAGCACCGGCUAACUCUGUGCCAGCAGCCGCGGUAAUACAGAGGGUGCGAGCGUUAAUCGGAAUUACUGGGCGUAAGCGCACGUGGCGGCUUGGCAUGUCGGGUGUGAAAUCCCCGGGCU
rnacentral:rRNA from 1 species